rnacentral:rRNA from 1 species
UGUGUUAGUGGAAGCGUCUGGAAAGGCGCGCGAUACAGGGUGACAGCCCCGUACACAAAAGCGCAUGUGCUGUGAGCUCGAUGAGUAGGGCGGGACACGUGGUAUCCUGUCUGAAUAUGGGGGGACCAUCCUCCAAGGCUAAAUACUCCUGACUGACCGAUAGUGAACCAGUACCGUGAGGGAAAGGCGAAAAGAACCCCGGCGAGGGGAGUGAAAAAGAACCUGAAACCGUGUACGUACAAGCAGUGGGAGCACCCUUUGGGUGUGACUGCGUACCUUUUGUAUAAUGGGUCAGCGACUUAUAUUCUGUAGCAAGGUUAACCGAAUAGGGGAGCCGGAGGGAAACCGAGUCUUAACCGGGCGUUAAGUUGCAGGGUAUAGACCCGAAACCCGGUGAUCUAGCCAUGGGCAGGUUGAAGGUUGGGUAACACUAACUGGAGGACCGAACCGACUAAUGUUGAAAAAUUAGCGGAUGACCUGUGGCUGGGGGUGAAAGGCCAAUCAAACCGGGAGAUAGCUGGUUCUCCCCGAAAGCUAUUUAGGUAGCGCCUCGUGAAUUCAUCUCCGGGGGUAGAGCACUGUUUCGGCUAGGGGGCCAUCCCGGCUUACCAACCCGAUGCAAACUGCGAAUACCGGAGAAUGUUAUCACGGGAGACACACGGCGGGUGCUAACGUCCGUCGUGAAGAGGGAAACAACCCAGACCGCCAGCUAAGGUCCCAAAGUCAUGGUUAAGUGGGAAACGAUGUGGGAAGGCCCAGACAGCCAGGAUGUUGGCUUAGAAGCAGCCAUCAUUUAAAGAAAGCGUAAUAGCUCACUGGUCGAGUCGGCCUGCGCGGAAGAUGUAACGGGGCUAAACCAUGCACCGAAGCUGCGGCAGCGACACUGUGUGUUGUUGGGUAGGGGAGCGUUCUGUAAGCCUGUGAAGGUGUGUCGUGAGGCAUGCUGGAGGUAUCAGAAGUGCGAAUGCUGACAUAAGUAACGAUAAAGCGGGUGAAAAGCCCGCUCGCCGGAAGACCAAGGGUUCCUGUCCAACGUUAAUCGGGGCAGGGUGAGUCGACCCCUAAGGCGAGGCCGAAAGGCGUAGUCGAUGGGAAACGGGUUAAUAUUCCCGUACUUGGUGUUACUGCGAAGGGGGGACGGAGAAGGCUAUGUUGGCCGGGCGACGGUUGUCCCGGUU